UACGUAGGGUGCGAGCGUUGUCCGGAAUUAUUGGGCGUAAAGAGCUUGUAGGCGGUCUGUCGCGUCUGCUGUGAAAAUCCGGGGCUCAACCCCGGACUUGCAGUGGGUACGGGCAAACUAGAGUGUUGCAGGGGAGACUGGAAUUCCUGGUGUAGCGGUGAAAUGCGCAGAUAUCAGGAGGAACACCGGUGGCGAAGGCGGGUCUCUGGGCAACAACUGACGCUGAGGAGCGAAAGCAUGGGGAGCGAACAGG
rnacentral:rRNA from 1 species